ACGGAAGGCAGCAGUGAGGAAUAUUGGUCAAUGGGCGAAAGCUUGAACCAGCCAAGUCGCGUGAAGGAUGAAGGUAUUAUGUAUUGUAAACUUCUUUAGCAGCAGAGUAAUAAGGGGGUCGUGACCCCCGAUGCAAGUAUGCUGAAAAUAAGGAUCGGCUAACUCCGUGCCAGCAGCCGCGGUAAUACGGAGGAUCCGAGCGUUAUCCGGAUUUAUUGGGUUUAAAGGGUGCGCAGGCGGUUUUUUAAGUCAGUGGUUAAAUCGUGAGGCUCAACCUCAUCACGCCAUUGAUACUGGAAGACUUGAUUGCGGUUGAGGUUGGCGGAAUUCGUCGUGUAGCGGUGAAAUGCAUAGAUAUCACACAGAACACCGAUUGCGAAGGCAGCUUACUGGAGCGCAACUGACACUGAGGCACGAAAGCGUGGGGAUCGAACAGGAUUAGAUACCCUGGUA
rnacentral:rRNA from 1 species